rnacentral:rRNA from 1 species
GACGAACGCUGGCGGCGUGCUUAACACAUGCAAGUCGAACGGAAAGGCCCUGCUUUUGUGGGGUGCUCGAGUGGCGAACGGGUGAGUAACACGUGAGUAACCUGCCCUUGACUUUGGGAUAACUUCAGGAAACUGGGGCUAAUACCGGAUAGGAGCUCCUGCUGCAUGGUGGGGGUUGGAAAGUUUCGGCGGUUGGGGCUGGACGCGCGGCUUAUCAGCUUGUUGGUGGGGUAGUGGCUUACCAAGGCUUUGACGGGUAGCCGGCCUGAGAGGGUGACCGGCGACAUUGGGACUGAGAUACGGCCCAGACUGCUACGGGAGGCAGCAGUGGGGAAUAUUGCACAAUGGGCGGAAGCCUGAUGCAGCAACGCCGCGUGCGGGAUGACGGCCUUCGGGUUGUAAACCGCUUUCGCCUGUGACGAAGCGUGAGUGACGGUAAUGGGUAAAGAAGCACCGGCUAACUACGUG